CCUCCAUUUCUUGGCAUGCAUGCAGUUGUUCUGUACUCAUGUGUGUAAUGUACGGAGGAAAAUGAAAUGCAGUGCUAUGUCUUCGGUGCUGGUGUGUUUAAUGUCUGCCAGUUCUAUCCUCAAUCACUGCAACAUUU
rnacentral:snoRNA from 1 species